GUUUAGGGUGAUGAAAAAGCAUCCUUAGGCAUGGUUGUGGCUAUCUUGGUCACUUGUGUGCCACUUGCCAAUGCUAGGACAUGUCAUAAAAAAAGAAAGUUUGCUACAU
ensembl:snoRNA